rnacentral:rRNA from 1 species
GUGGGGAAUCUUGCGCAAUGGGCGAAAGCCUGACGCAGCCAUGCUGCGUGAAUGAUGAAGGUCUUAGGAUUGUAAAAUUCUUUCACCGGGGACGAUAAUGACGGUACCCGGAGAAGAAGCCCCGGCUAACUUCGUGCCAGCAGCCGCGGUAAUACGAAGGGGGCUAGCGUUGCUCGGAAUUACUGGGCGUAAAGGGCGCGUAGGCGGACAGUUUAGUCAGAGGUGAAAGCCCAGGGCUCAACCUUGGAAUUGCCUUUGAUACUGGCUGUCUUGAGUACGGGAGAGGUGAGUGGAACUCCGAGUGUAGAGGUGAAAUUCGUAGAUAUUCGGAAGAACACCAGUGGCGAAGGCGACUCACUGGCCCGUUACUGACGCUGAGGCGCGAAAGCGUGGGGAGCAAACAGGAUUAGAUACCCCUGUAGUCC